rnacentral:sRNA from 1 species
GCUGGGCGUGUUGAAAUCCACCUGCGGAUAGAGCAUGGCCCGCUUUUGAUCCAUUGCCGUCGAGUGCGAAGUUCAGCUUUCAAUUGUUUGCAGAUUGGCGUCGCUGGUCGUCUCUUCCGUUUCGCUCUCUGCCAUCUACUGCCUACAGAUUCAAGUUUUGGCUUAGAUCGCUUCACAGAGCGAGCUUGAAAGCUUUCGGAGGGCGGUUGGGCAACCUUUUCGGCAAUUGCAAAACGAAAAAUAUCUUUGAAAUUGUACAAGUUUGUUGCUUGAAGUUUUAUCUAAUGCACACAAUGGGAUGUAUACUCAACCUAUCUCACGUACAAGCAUAGGAUGCGGCCACAGAUACAGUAAACACUGGUUGACGACCAUCAACAGUUUAUUAUCUAAGUAUUUUAUAAAUGUGAAGCAUGAAAAGAGCGACGAAACAGAUACAGAA